GUCAUCAUGCCCCUUAUGUCCAGGGCUACACACGUGCUACAUUGGCGCAUACAAAGGGCAGCAAUACCGCGAGGUGGAGCGAAUCCCAGAAAGUGCGUCUCGGUUCGGAUUGGAGGCUGAAACUCGCCUCCAUGAAGCUGGAGAUGCUAGUAAUCGCGGAUCAGCAAUGCCGCGGUGAAUACGUUCCCGGGCCUUGUACACACCGCCCGUCACACCACGAAAGCGAGCAACACCCGAAGCCGGUGGCCUAACCCUUUUGGGAGGGAGCCGUCGAAGGUGGGGCCCGUGAUUGGGGUGAAGUCGUAACAAGGUAGCCGUAGCGGAAGCUGCGGCUGGAUCACCUCCUUU
rnacentral:rRNA from 1 species